AUGAAGACUCACGCGAGACGCCGAAGCGGCGAGUUUUCAACUACCGCUUGAGCAGGGCCCGGCGAGUCAUCGAAAACGCCUUUGGAAUCCUGGCACAACAGUGGAGAAUUCCGCAGCGACCGUUCAAAGCCAAGACCGACAAUAUUAAUAGAUAUGUGGGAGCCUGCAUAGUGCUGCAUAAUUUUUUGAUGAAGGAGUCAUCGGCCUCUUCUGCUGCAUACUGCCCGCCAGGUUCUGCCGACAGCGAGGACUGGGAAGGGCGACUUUCCCCUGGCAGCUGGAGGGAGGAGGAACAGCCGGUGGUGCCCUCUUGCCAUCAAAGUCUACUGGGUGUCACGCUGCUCGGUGCGAAGGUUACUUGUAUUUCAAAAUAUGUUUGCUGUUAGAAAUUUGAAAGCAUGGCCUCGAAGUGGGGCCAUUUGAUGGUGGGGACAUCAACCGCUCCUGCACCACUACACUGCUUAUCGCGCACCUCCUGUUGCUUCCUCUUGAAUAUGCCUCUCAAGUUUUUAAAUUUUUUCUCUGGAGGGGUUCCUGCAAAAUAAAUAAGCAAUUAUACGUUGACAGCAACAUGAGAUCACACGAAAUAAAGUAUGCUAUAAAGAA
rnacentral:lncRNA from 1 species